rnacentral:rRNA from 1 species
GCUUAACACAUGCAAGUCGAACGGGCUCUUCGGAGAUAGUGGCGGACGGGUGAGUAACGCGUGAGAAUCUGGCCUUGGGUGGGGGACAACCACUGGAAACGGUGGCUAAUACCGGAUGUGCCGAAGGUGAAAGAUUAAUUGCCUAAGGAUGAGCUCGCGUCUGAUUAGCUAGUUGGUGGGGUAAGAGCCUACCAAGGCGACGAUCAGUAGCUGGUCUGAGAGGAUGAUCAGCCACACUGGGACUGAGACACGGCCCAGACUCCUACGGGAGGCAGCAGUGGGGAAUUUUCCGCAAUGGGCGAAAGCCUGACGGAGCAAUACCGCGUGAGGGAGGAAGGCUCUUGGGUUGUAAACCUCUUUUCUCAGGGAAGAACAAAAUGACGGUACCUGAGGAAUAAGCAUCGGCUAACUCCGUGCCACCAGCCGCGGUAAUACGGAGGAUGCAAGCGUUAUCCGGAAUGAUUGGUCGUAAAGCGUCCGCAGGUGGCUG